GACCAAUCACAACGCCCCGCCUCAGGGCCGGGCUGGUGUUAAAAACUGCCAAGGUAGGGGCAGUUUUUGCUACCGGUCGGGCUCAUUGGCGCGUGCAGUGCCCGGUCACAAUUUGCUACCCGCCCUUUCUCGUUGGUCCGGGGUAGCAAGUUCUGACCGGCCAUCAAGCACCAUCACAGCUCGAUGACAACGGUGAGAGGUAGCAAACCCUGGUGACCGUUGUUGCCCUUUACAAUUUGCUACCAUUCUGAAAUCUCCAUUGUAAAUGAGGACACCAGAGCUCUCUCACAGCUGCAACUGCAGCAGAAAAAAGAAGAUAAAGCAGGAAAGAGGAAAGCAAGAACAGCCAUAACAGGAGGGGAGAAGAAAACAAACAUUGACCUUAUGUAUACCCCUGCAACUGAACAACCAAUCAAAGAAAUCUUGUGAAACAAUAAUGAAGGACUUAAACAUAGAAUGCUAAUUUCAAAGCAAGUGGCCAUAUAUGAUGGUCAGAAGUCAAAAGACCAGGUGCAUUCCUCACUCACUGUCAUCGAAGGAAAAGCCCACACGGGUAGAGACACUGUCAGCUUGCUUUCUAUAUGCAGAAACUAUAAAUAUGGAUUCAAAGAAAGAUCUAUGACUGGACUGUUCCAGGGAAGUGUUUCAGAUGCAAAGCAGAGAUCCCCAGAGGCCAUCUGGGUACCCUGAAAGACUUCUGGGAAACUGGCAGUUUAUUACAUCAUUAACAUCAUAUGGAAUUACAAACGGUGACUCACCUGUUAAUAUAUUUUACCUGCGUUAACCUCUCAAUAACUCAUUUCCUAUUCUUAGCUAAUAAACUUAUAGUU